AAGUCGUAACAAGGUUUCCGUAGGUGAACCUGCGGAAGGAUCAUUAACACGUAUCCACGUUAUAUCACCGCGAAUUCUUAGGGUAGGCUUACUUGAGAAAAAGCCUAACUUUGAGGACUAAACAAAAGUGUAUACUCGGAAUCUCUUCUGAGAUCCUGAGGAUGUGCUGGAGUGAGGUCUUCUGAGUGAAAGCUCUGCUCUCUCUCGACUUAGCGGUUGAGUGCAGGGAUAUCAAGUAGGCUCCUUUGACUUGCCCCUUUCAGGAACAAAUCUUCGGAGGCGUACCUGAUUGGGGAAUUGAAACCCCUUUUUUCUAAAUAAAGGCCGUCUCUUUGCAGACCGCUUUUAACCGAAUGCUGUACAACUCUUAGCAACGGAUAUCUUGGUUCUG
rnacentral:misc_RNA from 1 species